ACGUUUUGACUCGAAGAAUUUCCUCUCUUUCCUUUGAGGUGCUCUUCCACGGAUAAAAACCAAGGAGGAACUUCCAUACUUCUUUCCUGAGGUCUUUGACUUUCUCUGGGUCGUUCAAGCGGCCUUCAGAGUCCAGGAACUCCUCCCACUGGACUAGAGGUCGUCCUCGAGUAACUUGUGGCCUGGGACCGAGCUCCACGCCCUGCAAGGGGACAAGCAGCCACAAACACCAGCAGCUCAGACCCGUUCACGUCUCCGACUCUACGCCACAAAAACACAGAAUCUACCAAAUCAGCCUACCCGUUCCACAAUGCGAAUGAAUCCCGGUAUGCUGGUUUCCUGGACGCUCCUCUUGGCGUUUGUGUGGAGGUACACGCC